AGGGGAGUGAGCUAGUGGUGACGCGCGCGGUCUCCAAAACCGUGAACCCGGGUUCGAAUCCCGGCUCCCCUG
rnacentral:tRNA from 1 species